CCAGUAUAGAUACCCCAGCAACUCCCUUUCCCCGGGCGCUGUCCGAGUGGCAUAUGGGAACAUAUCACUGUCUCAUCAUGUGUAGUUCUUUCCCAUAACAUUGCAGAUGAGGCUGGGCUUUGAGUCCACACUUGCAUAGCCUAAGAUUUCUCAGCAUCUUGAGGACAGAGGCCGAGGAGAAAAACCAUGCAGCACACAGAU
ensembl:snoRNA SNORA73 Small nucleolar RNA SNORA73 family